UACGGGGGGGGCAAGCGUUGUUCGGAAUUACUGGGCGUAAAGGGCUCGUAGGCGGCCAACUAAGUCAGACGUGAAAUCCCUCGGCUUAACCGGGGAACUGCGUCUGAUACUGGAUGGCUUGAGUUUGGGAGAGGGAUGCGGAAUUCCAGGUGUAGCGGUGAAAUGCGUAGAUAUCUGGAGGAACACCGGUGGCGAAGGCGGCAUCCUGGACCAACACUGACGCUGAGUGAGCGAAAGCCAGGGGAGCAAGCGGGG
rnacentral:rRNA from 1 species